AUUGAACGCUGGCGGCAGGCUUAACACAUGCAAGUCGAGCGGAGCGAGGGUGCUUGCACCUUAGCUUAGCGGCGGACGGGUGAGUAAUGCUUAGGAAUCUGCCUAUUAGUGGGGGACAACAUUCCGAAAGGAAUGCUAACACCGCAUACGCCCUACGGGGGAAAGCAGGGGAUCUUCGGACCUUGCGCUAAUAGAUGAGCCUAAGUCGGAUUAGCUAGUUGGUGGGGUAAAGGCCUACCAAGGCGACGAUCUGUAGCGGGUCUGAGAGGAUGAUCCGCCACACUGGGACUGGGACACGGCCCAGACUCCUGCGGGAGGCAGCAGUGGGGAAUAUUGGACAAUGGGCGGGAACCCUGAUCCAGCCAUGCCGCGUGUGUGAAGAAGGCCUUAUGGUUGUAAAUCACUUUAAGCGAGGAGGAGGCUCUUUUGGUUAAUACCCAAGAUGAGUGGACGUUACUCGCAGAAUAAGCACCGGCUAACUCUGUGCCAGCCGCCGCAGUAAUAC
rnacentral:rRNA from 1 species